GUCUACAGCCAUGCCACCCUGACCAUGCCUGUUCUCAUCUGAUCUCAAAAUCUAAGCAGGGUCGGGCCUGGUUAGUACUUGGGUAGAAGAAUGAAAUUAGAUAGUAUGUGUGCU
rnacentral:rRNA from 1 species